UGAAAAGCACUUCGAACAGAAGAGUGAAAUAGUCCCUGAACCCAUACGCCUACAAGCUGUCGGAGCCGCUUCGUGCGGUGACGGCGUGCCUUUUGCAUAAUGAGCCUACGAGUUACUCAUCACCAGCGAGGUUAAGUACUUCAGGUACGUAAGCCGAAGCGAAAGCGAGUCUGAAUAGGGCGUCAAGUUGGUGGUGGUAGACGCGAAACCUUAGUGAUCUACCCAUGGGCAGGGUGAAGGUUUGGUAACACAAACUGGAGGCCCGAACCGGUAAACGUUGAAAAGUUUUCGGAUGACCUGUGGGUAGGGGUGAAAGGCCAAUCAAACUGGGAAAUAGCUCGUACUCUCCGAAAUGCAUUUAGGUGCAGCCUCUGUUGUUUUGUUCUAGAGGUAGAGCUACUGAUUGGAUGCGAGGGCUUCACCGCCUAUCAAAUCCGGCCAAACUCCGAAUGCUAGAACAUAAAGACAGGGAGUGAGCCAGCGGGUGCUAAGGUCCGUUGACGAAAGAGGGAGAACUCAGACCAUCAGCUAAGGUCCCCAAUUAUAUGCUAAGUUGGAAUAAAAACGGGGUGGGACUGCUUAGACAGCUAGGAUGUUGGCUUGGAAGCAGCCAUUCAUUUAAAGAGUGCGUAACAGCUCACUAGUCGAGCGGUCCUGCAUGGAUAAUACGCGGGCAUAAGCAUAUAACCGAAGCUAUGGGAUUGUAGAUGAUACAAUCGGUAGGAGAGCAUUCCAUUCAGCAUAGAAGCAGUACCGUGAGGUAUUGUGGAGCGGAUGGAAAAGCAAAUGUAGGCAUAAGUAACGAUAAUGCGGGUGAGAACCCCGCACGCCGAAAGAUCAAGGAUUCCCCGGCAAUGUCAAUCAUCCGGGGGUAAGUCGGAUCCUAAGGGUAAGCCGAGUGGCGAUCCCGAUGGCAAACAGGUUAAUAUUCCUGUACUGAUCAUAACUGCGAUGCAGCGACGCAGAGGUGACACUGCUGCGUACUGACGGAAUAGUACGUUGAAACCCGUAUUCUUUGAUACCGGUAGUGAAGCACGCCGGUAGAGAUGAAAGGUGAUAGUACCGCAAUGCUUCGGUUGCGCGGAUAAUGCAGGUAAGCUGACUGCCAAGAAAACCUGCUAAGCUUCAGGUAAUGAUCAUCCGUACUGUAAACGGACACACGUGAUCAGGUAGAAAAUACUAAGGCGCUCGAGAGAUUCAUGGUUAAGGAACUAGGCAAAAUGGUCCUGUAACUUCGGGAUAAAGGACGCUCUUGUGAAAGAGCCGCAGAUAAUAGGCCCAGGCGACUGUUUACCAAAAACACAUGGCUAUGCUAAUUCGCAAGAAGAUGUAUAUGGCCUGACACCUGCCCGGUGCCGGAAGGUUAAGAGGAGAGCUCAGAGGUAACUCGAAGGUUUGAAUUGAAGCCCCGGUAAACGGCGGCCGUAACUAUAACGGUCCUAAGGUAGCGAAAUUCCUUGUCGGGUAAGUUCCGACCUGCACGAAUGGUGUAACGAUCUGGGUACUGUCUCAACCAUGAGCUCGGUGAAAUUGUAGUUCCGGUGAAGAUGCCGGAUACCCGCAACGGGACGGAAAGACCCCGUGAACCUUUACUGCAGCUUUGCAUUGAUUUUGGGUAACAGAUGUGUAGGAUAGGUCGGAGGCUUUGAUGCUGCGUCGUCAGGCGUAGAGUAGCCGUCGUUGAAAUACGACCCUUUUGUUAUCUGAGGUCUAACCCGUUAGGGAGACAUUGCAUGGUGGGUAGUUUGACUGGGGUGGUCGCCUCCAAAAGUGUAACGGAGGCUUCUCAAGGUACCCUCAAGGCGUUUGGUAAUCGUCUGCAGAGUGCAAUGGCAUAAGGGUGCUUGACUGUGAGACCGACACGUCGAUCAGGUUGGAAACAAGAGCAUAGUGAUCCGGUGGUUCCGCAUGGAAGGGCCAUCG
rnacentral:rRNA from 1 species